GGGUGGUCAGGUAGAGAAUACCGAGGCGUUCGGGUGAACUAUGGUUAAGGAACUCGGCAAAAUGCCCCCGUAACUUCGGGAGAAGGGGGGCCAUUCUAGGUGAUGAAGUUUUCCUUCUGAGCUUGGGGUGGCCGCAGAGACCAGCGAGAAGCGACUGUUUACUAAAAACACAGGUCCGUGCGAAGCCGUAAGGCGAUGUAUACGGACUGACGCCUGCCCGGUGCUGGAACGUUAAGGGGACCGGUUAGUCACAUUUCGGUGUGGCGAGGCUGAGAACUUAAGCGCCAGUAAACGGCGGUGGUAACUAUAACCAUCCUAAGGUAGCGAAAUUCCUUGUCGGGUAAGUUCCGACCUGCACGAAUGGCGUAACGACUUCUCGACUGUCUCAACCAUAGGCCCGGUGAAAUUGCACUACGAGUAAAGAUGCUCGUUUCGCGCAGCAGGACGGAAAGACCCCGGGACCUUUACUAUAGUUUGAUAUUGGUGUUCGGUUCGGCUUGUGUAGGAUAGGUGGGAGACUGUGAAGCUUGGACGCCAGUUCAGGUGGAGUCGUCGUUGAAAUACCACUCUGGUCGUGCUGGAUGCCUAACCUGGGUCCGUGAUCCGGAUCAGGGACAGUGUCUGAUGGGUAGUUUAACUGGGGCGGUUGCCUCCUAAAGAGUAACGGAGGCGCCCAAAGGUUCCCUCAGCCUGGUUGGUAAUCAGGUGUUGAGUGUAAGUGCACAAGGGAGCUUGACUGUGAGACCGACGGGUCGAGCAGGGACGAAAGUCGGGACUAGUGAUCCGGCGGUGGCUUGUGGAAGCGCCGUCGCUCAACGGAUAAAAGGUACCCCGGGGAUAACAGGCUGAUCUUCCCCAAGAGUCCAUAUCGACGGGAUGGUUUGGCACCUCGAUGUCGGCUCGUCGCAUCCUGGGGCUGGAGUCGGUCCCAAGGGUUGGGCUGUUCGCCCAUUAAAGCGGUACGCGAGCUGGGUUUAGAACGUCGUGAGACAGUUCGGUCCCUAUCCGCUGUGCGCGUAGGAGUCUUGAGAAGGGCUGUCCCUAUACGAGAGGACCGGGACGGACGAACCUCUGGUGUGCCAGUUGUCCUGCCAAGGGCAUGGCUGGUUGGCUACGUUCGGGAGGGAUAACCGCUGAAAGCAUCUAAGCGGGAAGCCUGCUUCGAGAUGAGGGCUCCCACCCCCUAGAGGGGUUAAGGCUCCCAGUAGACGACUGGGUUGAUAGGCCAGAUGUGGAAGACCGGUAACGGUUGAAGCUGACUGGUACUAAUAGGCCGAGGGCUUGUCCG
rnacentral:rRNA from 1 species